rnacentral:rRNA from 1 species
GAUCAUGGCUCAGGAUGAACGCUGGCGGCGUGCCUAACACAUGCAAGUCGUACGAGCUCGAUCUUCGGAACGGGUUAGUGGCGCACGGGUGAGUAACACGUAGGUGACCUACCCCAGAGUGGGGGAUAACUUCUCGAAAGAGAGGCUAAUACCGCAUACACUCGGUCAUUCAUUUGGCCGAGCAAAGCUCUGGCGCUUUGGGACGGGCCUGCGUCCGAUUAGCUAGUUGGUAGGGUAAUGGCUUACCAAGGCUUUGAUCGGUAGCUGGUCUGAGAGGACGAUCAGCCACACUGGCACUGACACACGGGCCAGACUCCCACGGGAGGCAGCAGUGAGGAAUAUUGGGCAAUGGGCGAAAGCCUGACCCAGCAACGCCGCGUGAGGGAUGAAGGCCUUCGGGUUGUAAACCUCUUUUCUGGGAGAAGAGACAAGGACGGUAUCCCAGGAAUAAGUCUCGGCUAACUACGUG